rnacentral:lncRNA from 1 species
AUGUCCUCGUUUGUAUCGAAACGAAGAACGAGCUUCUCGCCCUCGUUCCCCUUCUGCCCAUUUUUCAUCCGUUCCUCGUCGCCGAUGCCCUCUCCAGGUUCUGGUUCUGGUUCGUCAAGGGAGAGGUUUGGGUAAGGGUUUUCCAGCACUGACCCAAACUGUUACUGCUGCUGCCAUUUCUUUUCUUCAUCGUAUGAAAUGCUUUGUGCUGCUUUCAGAGUUUCAGUUCAACGAAGACGCCAUGGAACCUGCAACUAUAUUACAUCCUGAGGAGGUAUGGGAUCGUUUUUGUACGUAAUAUUUUAUAGCGUGGAGAUCAUUUAUAGUACAUCUUUCUCUUUCUACUUCUCCUCCCGAGGCAGGAAGAGAAGGCCGCCGCUCUCGUCCUGCUCCAGCCCCGGCUCCAGCUCCGCCCCACCCAACACGCGUGCCAACCACUCCAUCUCGUCCUCCUCCACCUCCUUCGCAUCCUCCAUUACCCCCGCUGAGUUCGAGUCCGUCCUUGCGACC